UCCCUUGUAGCUCAGUCAGUAAAGAAUCUGCCUGCAAUGCAGGAAACCCAGGUUCAAUUCCUGGGUCAGGAA
rnacentral:tRNA from 1 species